CACGUGGUUUCUUCUUUUGUUGGAGCUGGCUGAGCGGUUUGUAGAAAGUACUAAUAUGGAGAAAGAGCGCAGCGCUACACGCGGAGCACAGAGACACACAGAGGAGGUGGGAGAUCUGGACUGGAUACAUAAAGACUGUGAGACGGUUCUGCAGAACUACCCGUGGCUCAGUGCUGUUUUCCACCGAUUUUAAAGCGGCUAUUAUUUCUACAGAAUCUCCAAAAUGUCCUGGGAGGUGACUAAGACAGAACUCUCCACAGCUCGGUGCCCUUUUCCAGUGGAUUUGAAGCUUUUGUUUCUACAGAAUCUCCAGAAUGUCUUUGGAGCUGUUUGAGACGGAACUCUCCAUGGCAGUGCCCUUUUCCAGUGGAUGUGAAGAGGCUGUUUCUACAGAAUGUCUUGGGAGAUGAUUGAGACAGAAACUAUGCGAUCCAAAGGCUACAUGAUUGUGCACGUCUCGUGAACUUGGAGAAGAUGUCCAGGCCAUACCGAACUGCCAACAGAUCUGGCCAUCUGGAAAUGUGUGUGUGUAACACAGAAUGGGCUUUGGUUGAAGUGGAUAUGGGAGAUUCAUCUAGUUAUUUACAGAGGUUGAAGUGGAUAUGGGAGAUUCAUCUUGUUAUACCAGAGGUGGUUUGCCCAGCUAUGAUAUGAAGAGCAUCCAUAAUGCCUAAUUAUCUUCAGUGAUGACUUGGAGAUUGAAAUGUGUGGACAAUUCAACUUCGUUUCCAUCAACUGGACACCAUUUUCUCUGGACGUCAUGUGCUGUGGGACUGCAGACUAUUUUUAUCUAACGUGAUACUGCAUAUCGGUUUAGUUAAUUGACUUUCAAAUCAGUCCCAAUGAGUUUAGAAAUUAAAUUAACUAUGAUAAGGGUCAUAUCUGGGGUAUUUAUUUAGCACCCAAGUCAUCUGCUGGUAAAAAGGAGGAAAGUAUGUUGACUGACAA